UACGGAGGGUGCAGGCGUUAUCCGGAAUUAUUGGGCGUAAAGCGUCUGUAGGCGGACAAUUAAGUGUGAUAUUAAAGACAACAGCUCAACUGUUGCGUGGUAUCUCAAACUGAUUGUCUAGAGGCUUGGAGAGGUUAGUAGAAUUCUACAUGUAGGGGUUAAAUCCGUAGAUAUGUAGAGGAAUACCAAAAGCGAAAGCAGCUAACUGGACAAGUUCUGACGCUCAGAGACGAAAGCGUGGGGAGCAAACAGGAUUAGAUACCCUGGUAGUCCACGCCGUAAACGAUGGAUACUCGGUGUCAGGUUACUCAAUCGACCUGGUGCCUAAGCUAACGCGUUAAGUAUCCCGCCUGGGGAGUACGGUCGCAAGAUUAAAACUCAAAGGAAUAGACGGGGACCCACACAAGCGGUGGAGCAUCUUGUUUAAUUCGAUAAUAAACGGGGAACCUUACCUAGGCUUGACAUCCCACAGAAUUUUCUGGAAACAGAAAAGUGCCUUUUGGAACUGUGGUGACAGGCGCUGCAUGGUCGUCGUCAGCUCGUGCCUUGAGGUGUUCGGUUAAGUCCGUAAACGAGCGCAACCCUAGUCGCAUGUUGUAUUUUUCAUGCGAGACUGCCGGUUACAAAUCGGAGGAAGGUUAGGUUGAAGUCAGAUCAGCAUGGCCCUUAUGCCUAGGGCUACAAAGGUGCUACAAUGGUAUGUACAGCGGGCAGCGAAGGAGUGAUCCUAAGCCAAUCCCUUAAAGCAUAUCUAAGUUCGGAUUGUAGUCUGCAACUCGACUACAUGAAGUUGGAAUCGCUAGUAACCGCAUAUCAGCCAUGGUGCGGUGAAUUUGUUCCUGGGUCU
rnacentral:rRNA from 1 species